UGCACAUCAGGAUUUCUCUGUUGUUGUGUUUGUGUUUCGGGUGCUGGGGAUGGGCCCAGGGCGGGGACGUUGGGCCAGUGCGCUCGCCUAGAGCCCCACGCCAGCCCUCCUCGGGUUAUCUGUGAUUUCUUUGCUUGUGAUCUCUUUCAUCUCUUGGUUGGAAUGUAAUUAUAAGUUGAUUCCUAUAAGCUCUUUAAGUUUUUUCCCCUUGGCUGUACUGGGAAUUGAAGCCAGUGCCUCACACAUGCCAGACAAUCACUGAGCUGCAUACCCAGACCUCUAAAAAAUGUUGUUCUCGGAGACAGGGUCUCGCUAAGUUACCAAGGCUGGCCUCACACUUGCCAUCCUCCUGCCUCAGCCUCCCCUGGGGCUGGGAGGACAGGUCAGACCACCACGCCUGGCUACAGUGCACGUGUAUCACCCUUCCAGCUCUCCCGGGAUCUGAGGCUCAGGAGUGGUUCUUCCGCGGUGGCAAUCAGAUGUCAGCCGGGGAUGCUGUCCUUUGAAGGCCUCAUGGUGAUUCACUUUGAAGGUGGCUCAGUUGCCUGGCUGCCCAGUUGGUGCGGGUUGUUGUUCAUGGACUUAUGGAUGAAUGGAUUAUCAUGGGAGUGGCUUUGGUGUACAAGUGGGCUCUCUCUGCCACGCUCGAUCUGUCUUGCCGUGUGGUGCCCUCUGCCAGGUUGUCAUGCAGCAGGAAGACCCCCACCAGGUGCCAUCAUCAGGUUCUUAAGACUUCCCAGCCUCCGGAGCCAUGAGCCAGAUAAACCUCCGUUCUUUAUAAACGACCCCACCUGUGGUAUUCAGUUAUAGCAACAGAAAGCGGACUAAGGCAUAUGAUAAACUUGAGCACACGAGAGAAUUCACAGGAAGUGAGUCUGUGCUGCAUCUUUGUGAUAGCAAAGCCUGAAUAGCCAUCCGGCACAGCCCAGUUCAGGACAGACAGUGGCACUCUGUGAAAUGGGGGUCACGGUGUGGAAGACGGAAACCAUCCCCGUCCAUGACAGAUGAACGGAAAAACACAACGCGGUCCGUCUGUACAGUCGGAUGUUAUUCAGUCUUAAAAAGGAAGAAGAUGUUGACAUGUGACCAUGUGGAUAAGAUUUGAAGACAUCAGGCGAAAAGAAACGAGUCACUCACAAGAGAACGGAUGCUACAUGAUUGUCCUCAUAGUGGGUCCCCGCCACCGUCCCAUCUGUAGUGUGCUAUCUAUCCCGUAGCAAGACCUAAGAGAACCAACUUACAUGGAGACAAGGUUUAUUCUGGCUCUGUUUAAGGGGUUUCCAUGCUCUAUUGAUUGGUCUUGUUGUUUGGGGCCUGUGACAAGGCAGCCCAUCAUGGAAAGAGUGUGUGUUGGGGGCUGGGGACGUGGCUCCAGUGGUAGCGCGCUUGCCUGGCAUGUGUGCAGCCCGGGUUCGAUCCUCAGCACCACAUACAAACAAAGAUGUUGUGUCCGCCGAAAACUGAAAAAUAAAUAUUGAAAUUCUC